rnacentral:rRNA from 1 species
UACGGAGGGUGCGAGCGUUAUUCGGAAUUACUGGGCGUAAAGGGUGCGUAGGCUGUUAUAUAAGUUGACUGUGAAAGUCCUGGGCUCAACCUGGGGAUGUCAGUUAAGACUGUAUGACUUGAGUAUGGGAGAGGGUAGUGGAAUUUCCGGUGUAGCGGUGAAAUGCGUAGAUAUCGGAAGGAACACCGGUGGCGAAGGCGGCUCCCUGGACUGAUACUGACACUGAAGCACGAAAGCGUGGGGAGCAAACAGG